AUUACGUGCUAUUUUUUGUGGGCCGCAAGUUGGCCAAUCAUGAGUAUUUUAUUCUUAAGCAUUUGAUACUAACUUCAAUUUCUUUUUUUCUAAUAUCGUAGACGAUGGUGAAGUCUUUUGAGGUGACUGAGUUACAAGUUAGAUCUGCAAAGUUCAUUGCGCGCAAACAAUGGGUUGUUGCUGGUGCUGAUGACAUGUAUAUUCGUGUUUACAACUACAAUACAAUGGAUAAGGUCAAAGUAUUUGAGGCGCACACGGAUUAUAUUAGGUGUGUGGCUGUUCAUCCUACGCUUCCAUAUGUGCUGUCAUCGUCUGAUGACAUGCUUAUAAAGCUUUGGGAUUGAGAGAAGGACUGGGCGUGUACUCAAAUUUUUUAGGGUCAUUCUCAUUAUGUUAUGCAAGUGACAUUUAAUCCGAAAGACACCAACACAUUUGCAAGUGCAUCUCUUGAUCGCACUAUAAAGGGGUAAAUUGUGUUGAUUACUUCACAGGUGGUGAUAAGCCUUAUCUUAUAACCAGUUCUGAUGAUCAUACUGCAAAGAUUUGCUACCUGUUUUCC